GACGAACGCUGGCGGCGUGCUUAACACAUGCAAGUCGAACGAAGUGGCGAACGGGUGAGUAACGCGUAAUCAACCUGCCCUUCAGCGGGGGACAACAGUUGGAAACGACUGCUAAUACCGCAUACGGAAGGAGGGGAUUGCGUCUGGUUAGCUGGUUGGAGGGGUAACGGCCCACCAAGGCGAGAAUCAGUAGCCGGUCUGAGAGGUUUGACGGCCACAAUGGGACUGGGACACGGCCCAGACUCCUACGGGAGGCAGCAGUGGGGAAUCUUCCGGAAUGGACGAAAGUCUGACGGGGCAACGCCGCGGGAGUGAUGACGGCCUUCGGGUUGUAAAGCUCUGUUAAUCGGGACGCGGUACCGGAAUAGAAAGCCACGGCUAACUACGUGCCAGCAGCCGCGGUAAUUC
rnacentral:rRNA from 1 species